UUGAAUUUUCCCUUUCUUCCGGAUUUUCAGAUAGAGUUUUUUUCUGACCGUUCCCCAGUACGCCCCCCCCCCCCAAAUCCCCCCCCCAAAUCCAAAUUUCUUUCGACACAGGCUAACCCCAAAAAGCUCGGUUUGGGGGGUUACGGGACCCCUGUUAAAAGGAAAAACACAACCUCUUGAACCAAUAAACCAAAUACCCUAGUACAUUUGGUAAAUCAAAACCCCCCCCCUUUUAGAGAGUACCCCCGGCUCGACGGGCAACCCCCCCCCCACAGGGGCUUUGAGAGGGGGCCCGUCCCACCCCCCAGAAAGAGGCUAGGGUGUAAACUUUUUUCCAGGGUUAAAAGAAGUACUAGAAACCAGCCGCUCUUCCUCCAAAGCGGGAAAAAAAGAGAGAGCUAGUUUUUUUGGAAUUACUGCCGUAAAGCGCACGUAGGCGGUUAUUCAAGUCAGAGGUGAGAGCCCGGGGCUCAAUCCCGGCACAGCCUUUGAAACUAGAUAACUAGAAUUCUGGAGAGGUCAGUGGAAUUCCGAGUGUAGAGGUGAAAUUCGUAGAUAUUCGGAAGAACACCAGUGGAGAAGGCGACUGACUGGACAGAUAUUGACGCUGAGGUGCGAAAGCGUGGGGAGCAAACAGG
rnacentral:rRNA from 1 species